GUAAGGAAUAUUGGUCAAUGGGCGGAAGCCUGAACCAGCCAUGCCGCGUGCAGGAAGACGGCCCUACGGGUUGUAAACUGCUUUUGUACCAGAAUAAACCUUGAUUCGUGAAUCAAGCUGAAUGUAUGGUAAGAAUAAGGAUCGGCUAACUCCGUGCCAGCAGCCGCGGUAAUACGGAGGAUCCAAGCGUUAUCCGGAUUUAUUGGGUUUAAAGGGUGCGUAGGCGGCCUGUUAAGUCAGGGGUGAAAGACGGUAGCUCAACUAUCGCAGUGCCCUUGAUACUGAUGGGCUUGAAUGUACUAGAGGUAGGCGGAAUGUGACAAGUAGCGGUGAAAUGCAUAGAUAUGUCACAGAACACCAAUUGCGAAGGCAGCUUACUAUGGUAUGAUUGACGCUGAGGCACGAAAGCGUGGGGAUCAAACAGGAUUAGAUACCCUUGUAGUCC
rnacentral:rRNA from 1 species